rnacentral:misc_RNA from 1 species
UUUCCGUAGGUGAACCUGCGGAAGGAUCAUUAUUGUAUAAUCGAGGUGCGAGGGCUGUCGCUGACCCGAAAGGUCGUGCACGCCCGAGUGCCCUCACACACAUCCAUCUCACCCCUAUGUGCACCACCGCGUGGGUCCCCCUUUGGCUUGUUCGGAGGGGGGCUUACGUUUUCACUCAAACUUUGUAUGCAGUGUAGAAUGUAUUUUUUGUUUUUGCGAUCACGCAAUCAAUACAACUUUCAACAACGGAUCUCUUGGCUCUC